rnacentral:rRNA from 1 species
UACGGAGGGGGCUAGCGUUGUUCGGAAUUACUGGGCGUAAAGCGCACGUAGGCGGCUUUGUAAGUUAGAGGUGAAAGCCCGGGGCUCAACUUCCGGAAUUGCCUUUAAGACUGCAUCGCUAGAAUUGUGGAGAGGUAAGUGGAAUUCCGAGUGUAGAGGUGAAAUUCGUAGAUAUUCGGAAGAACACCAGUGGCGAAGGCGACUUACUGGACACAUAUUGACGCUGAGGUGCGAAAGCGUGGGGAGCAAACAGG